AGGAGCGACCGUAUCAGCACUAAUGCACGGGAUUCGAUCGGAACUCCGAAGUUAAGCGUGCUUGGGUGAGAAUUGUUCUAAGAUGGGCUUGUCUUAUGACUCUCAUA
rnacentral:rRNA from 1 species